UACGUAGGGGGCAAGCGUUGUCCGGAUUUAUUGGGCGUAAAAGCGCACGGCAAGGGCGGUGCGGUAAGGCUACAAGUGACAGGUGGUGGCUUAACUGCCCACAGGACUUGAAAAAACUGUCCGCACUUGAGGGCUUGAGAGGGACGCGGAAUUCCACGUGUAGCAGUGAAAUGCGUAGAGGAUGUGGAGGAACACCGAUGGCGAAGGCAGCCCCCUGGGCUGAGAUUGACGCUCAGGCACGAAAGCGUGGGGAGCAAACAGG
rnacentral:rRNA from 1 species